GUAGUCUCGCACAGAUGCAUAUCAAUAAGCGGAGGAAAAGAAACUAACAAGGAUUCCCCUGGUAACGGCGAGUGAAGCGGGAAGAGCUCAAAUUUGAAAUCUUAAAGGGUUUCCCUUUACGAAUUGUAGUUUAAAGAAGUGUUUUCUGUUGAGGUUUUGGUAAAAGUUCUUUGGAAUAGGACAUCAUAGAGGGUGAGAAUCCCGUAUUUGACCUUUACUUUCAACUUCGUGAUACACUUUCAAAGAGUCGGAUUGUUUGGGAAUGCAGUCCAAAAUGGGUGGUAAAUUUCAUCUAAAGCUAAAUAUUGGCGAGAGACCGAUAGCGAACAAGUACCGUGAGGGAAAGAUGAAAAGAACUUUGAAAAGAGAGUUAAACAGUACGUGAAAUUGUCAAAAGGGAAGCGUUUGACACCAGUGUUGUUUUUCUGAAAAUCAAUUAAAGAACUGUUUAUGCUAAGCUGUUUAGACUUUAUCAGCUAACUGUUUAGUUUUGAGCUUUUAUUUAAUGUACUUUUCAGUUAACAAGUCAACAUCAAUUUCUUUUGUUGUAAAAAGGUAGAGGAAGGUGGCUUGCGCUUCGUCUCAAGUGUUUAUAGCCUUUUAGCCUCUGCAGUCGGAGAGAUUGAGGUCUGCAGCGUAGAUCCUUCGGGGUUAAAUGACAUUUGUGCUAAGUUAUAGCAUUUUCAUAGACAACUUGUUGACUAUGAUUAGUCUUGUAGCUUACUCGCUUAUGCUAUUUUACCUACGCUUAGGAUGUUGAAGCAUCGUAUCGCGC
rnacentral:rRNA from 1 species